CCUACGGGAGACAGCAGUAGGGAAUUUUCGGCAAUGGGGGGAACCCUGACCGAGCAACGCCGCGUGAACGAAGAAGUUAUUCGUAAUGUAAAGUUCUUUUAACAGGGAAGAAAGAGAAAUUUGACGGUACCUGAAGAAUAAGCUCCGGCAAACUACGUGCCAGCAGCCGCGGUAAUACGUAGGGACCGAGCGUUAUCCGGAAUUAUUGGGCGAAAAGGGUGCGUAGAUGGCAUAGUAAGUCUUUUGUAAAAAUGCUGGGCUAAACCCAGUAGGGGAAAAGAGACUGCAAGGCUAGAGGAUGGGAGAGGCAGGCGGAAGUGCAGGUGGAGGGGGAAAAGGCGGAGAGA
rnacentral:rRNA from 1 species